GUAAAUCCUGGAUCACGCAACAUUAUCUCACAAUGCAACGAAUCUGAGUGUCGGCCUGUCAGCUUUUGUAAUGACUUUUGCCCAAUGGGGCUGUUGCACACUUUUUUUUUAAUUCAUUUUCGUAAAGUACAUGAAAAAUAAGGAGACCCGUCUUUUUUCUUUUUUCAUUUAAUAAACUUUUAGGUAAGAAAACGACUUCCAAAGUUGCUGAAAGUUCAACUCCAUUUAAAACGGAAAAAUAUCGCGCCAACGGAUUUUGUGACGUCACAAGGCUCAGUGACCGCCCUGAUCCUUUCCAUCUGCGGAUGCUAUUGUUUAACAAUAACAAUACGUGCUGAGUGAGGUUAUGUCGGAAGUGAAAACCUAUUUUUUCUCACUGUUUUCAAAAUGAAAUCGUUUCAUCGUGUGGUGAAUUGUUUUGUUCCGGGGUGCUGCAAUUGCAGUGAAAGUGGUGGCAAACUUUUUUUUCAAGUGCCGAGGAACUCCAUGAGGAAUAAGUGGUGGUUUGCUGUUGGACUGCCUCCUGACACUCUGCAACUCAGACUAAAGCCUACUGUUGUGAGGAUCAUUUUAAUCUUGAAGAGGAUGUUGAAGAGUGGAGGCGGUACCUAUUUUGCAUUGAAGGAGGAUUGCCUACGUUCCGUCUGCGGCUGCACCAAGAUGUAAUUCCACAUCGCAACUUACCCAUCUUCAGUCCCAAAAUGCCUACUCCGAAGAGAAGGAAAACAGUUCUCCUCGACAGGAGCAAUUCUAUUGUGCAGACUGAAACCUCGUCUCCUGUAUCAUUGGCUAGUAUCAAAAGUAAUCGGUUCCAAGAUUUGAGAAGAAUUUCGAAUAUUCAGGAAGACAAUGAUUUCGCUUUGGCCUACAAUCCGAACCUAGUUACAUAUAGCCCCACCGAAGAAACCGGAGGAACAGCAACGCUGAAAAUGCGGAUCCUAAUGAAUAUACUGAAACCUCGUCUCCUGUCUCAUUGGCUAGUAUCAAAAGUAAUCGGUUCCAAGAUUUGAGAAGAAUUUCGAAUAUUCAGGAAGACAAUGAUUUCGCUUUGGCCUACAAUCCGAACCUAGUUACAUAUAGCCCCCACCGAAGAAACCGGAGGGACAGCAACGCUGAAAAUGUGGAUCCUAAUGAAUAUGUAUGAUUUUUUUUAAAAUUAUGAUUCAAUUUUCAUUAUUAAAUGACCUCUUAAAGUAUUCACAUGACUCACAAUGGAAAGGGAUUGGCAUUAGAAAUUCAGAUCAUGAAUAAUUUUUUGUCUCUAUGGUUCUGUUGCGUGCAAGGGAUACACUCAAGUGAAUGAACCUCUCAAAGGUAGAAUCAUACUAAAAUCAAGCUAUGUUUUUUAUGAUCUCU
rnacentral:lncRNA from 1 species